GGCCGCUUAGCUCAGUUGGUAGAGCACCUCCUUUACACGGAGAUUGUCGGGAGUUCGAGCCUCUCAGCGGCUACCA
rnacentral:tRNA from 1 species